ACGACUCUCGGCAACGGAUAUCUCGGCUCUCGCAUCGAUGAAGAACCUAGCAAAAUGCGAUACUUAGUGUGAAUUGCACAAUCCCGUGAACCAUCGAGUCUUUGAACGCAAGUUGCGCCCGAGACCUUCCGGCUAAGGGCACGCCUAUCUAGGCGUUACGCACCGUGUCGCCCCUUCCACCUCCUUCCUAAGAGAAAGGAUGGGGCAAGGGGCGGACAGUGGCCCCCGUGCGUCCCCACGCGGCCGGCCUAAACGUAAACCCCGUGGCCGCAAACGGCCGCGACGAUUGGUGGUGUACUAAGACUACGCAUCACGUCGGGUCCCCGCGAGCCCCGGGAAGAAAGAUCGGAGAGCCGUUAAAGCACCCCAACCGUUACGACCCCAGAUCAGACGGGACUACCCACUGAGUUUAAGCAUAUCAAUAAGCGGAGGAAAAUAAACUUACAAGGAUUCCCCUAGUAACGGCGAGCGAACCGGGAAGAGCCCAACUUUAGAAUCGGGCUGCCCCACCGUCCGAAUUGUAGUUUGGAGAAGCGUCCUCCGCGACGGACCGGGACCAAGUUCCCUGGAAGGGGGCGCUGGAGAGGGUGUGAGCCCCGUCGUGCCCGGACCCUGUCACACCACGAGGCGUUAUCGGCGAGUUGGGUUGUUUGGGAAUGCAGCCCCAAGCGGGCGGUAAAUUCCGUCCAAGGCUAAAUACGGGCGAGAGACCGAUAAAGAACAAGAGAGUCAAAGAGUCCUUGAAAUUGUUGGGAGGGAAGCGGAUGGGGGCCGGCGAUGAGCCCCGGUCGGAUGUGGAACGACCUGGCCGGUCCGCCGCUCGGCUCGGGACAUGGAUCGACGCGGAUUGAGGGGGCGGCUUAAGCCCGGGCGGUAGAUACGCCCGCGGAGCGCCGUCCCAACGAUUGUGCAACCCAGUACGCCGCAUGGCGAACCAACCGCGCGCUCCGGGCGUCGGCCAGCGGGCCCCCAUUCGGCCCAUCUUGAAACACGGACCAAGGAGUCUGACAUGUGUGCGAGUCAUCGGACGAGUAAACCCAUACGGUGCAAGGAAGCUAAUUGGAGGGAUCCCUUAGCGGGCUGCACCGCCAACUGCCCUUGAUUUUGUGAGAAUGGUUCGAGUGCGAGCAUACCUGUCGGGACCCGAAAGAUGGUGAACUAUGCCUGAGCGGUGCGAAGCGAGUGGAAACUCUGGUGGAGCCCCGAAGCGAUACUGACGUGCAAAUCGUUCGUCUGACUUGGGUAUAGGGGCGAAAGCCUAGUCGAACCAUCUAGUAUCUCGUUCUCUCCGAAGUUUCCCUCAGGAUAGCUGGAGCUCGUGCGAGUUCUAUCGGGUAAAGCCAAUGAUUAGAGGCAUUGGUGGCGCAACGCCCUCGACCUAUUCUCAAACUUUCAAUAAGUAGGACGGCGCGGAUGCUUAGUUGAGCCACGCCACAAAAUCGAGAGCUCCAAGUGGUCCAUUUUUGUUAAGCAGAACGUGCAAUACGGGAUGAACUGGAAGCCGGGUUACGGUACCCAACUACUCGCUAACCUAGAUCCCACAAAGGGUGUUGGUCGAAUAAGACAGCAGGACGAUGAUCAUGGAAGCCGAAAUCCGCUAAGGAAAGGAGUGGGUAACAACUCACUUUCCGAAUCAAAUAGCACCGAAAAUGGAUGGUGCUUAAGCGCUCGACCCAUACCCGGUCGUCGGAGCAAGCACCAAGCCCCGAUGUGUAGGAGGGCGCGGCGGUUGCCGUAAAACUCGCGGCGCGAGCCAGGGCGGAGUGGCCGUCGGUGCAGAUCUUGAAGGUAGUAGCAAAUAUUCAAAUGAGAUCUUUGAAGGGCGAAGAGAAAUUUGAACGGGAAUCGGGUUAAAAUUCACGAACCGGGACGUGGCGGUUGCCGGCAACGUUAAGAAGUCCGGAGACGUCGGCGGCGUCCUCGGGAAGAGUUAUCUUUUCUGUUUAAUAGCCUGCCCACCCUGGAAACGGCUUAGCUGGAGGUAUGGUCCAACGGAUGGAAGAGCGCCGCACGUCGCGCGGCGUCCGGUGCGCCCCCGGCGGCCCUUGAAAAUCCAAAGGACCGAGUGCGCAUCACGCCUGGUCGUACUCAUAACCGCAUCAAGUGUCCAAGGUGAACAACGUUUAGCCAAUGGAACAGUGUAGGCAAGGGAAGUCGGAAAAAUGGAUCCGUAACCUCGGGAAAAGGAUCGGCAUUGAGGGUUGGGCACGGGUCCCAGCUCCGAACCCGCCGGCUGUCGGCGGACCGCUCGAGCUGCUCACGUAGCAAGAGCGGUCGCCGCGUGCCGGCCGGGGGACGGGUUGGGAACGGCCUGCUCGGGGGCCUUCCCCGGGCGUCAAACAGUCGACUGAGAACUGGUACGGACAAGGGGAAUCCGACUGUUUAAUUAAAACAAAGCAUUGCCACGUUCCUUGCGGAUGUUAACACGAUGUGAUUUCUGCCCAGUAUUGUGAAUGUCAAAGUGAAUAAAAUCAACCAAGAGCGGGUAAACGGCGGGAGAAACUAUGACUCUCUUAAGGUAGCUAAAUGCCUCGUCACCUAAUUAGUACGCGCAUGAAUGUAUUAACGAGAUUCCCACUGUCCCUGUCUACUAUCUAGCGAAACAACGGCCAAGGGAACGGGCUUCACAUAAUCAGCGGGGAAAGAAGACCUUGUUGAGCUUGACUCUAGUCCGACUUUGUGAAAUGACUUGAGAGAUGUAGGAUAAGUGGGAGCCUCGCGGUGAAAGUGAAAUACCACUACUUUUAACGUUAUUUUACUUACUUCGUGAGCCGGAAGUGGGGCAUCGCCCCUUUUUCUAGACCCAAGGGCCGCGUCCGCGGCCGAUCCGGGUGGAGGACAUUUUUAGGUGGGGAGUUUGGUUGGGGCGGCACAUCUGAUUUUCAAUACGAAUACGAACCGUGAAAGUGUGGCCUAAUGAUCCUUUAGACCUUCGGAAUUUGAAGCUAGAGGUGUCAGAAAAGUUACCACAGGGAUAAUUGGCUUGUGGNGAAUUCACCAAGUGUUGGAUUGUUCACCCACCAAUAGGGAACGGGAGCUGGGUUUAGACCGUCGUGAGACAAGUUAGUUUUACAUUACUGAUGACAACACCGUGAUGGUAAUUUGUUCGCUCA
rnacentral:rRNA from 1 species